rnacentral:lncRNA from 1 species
AAUGGCCAAGAUGUCUGUUUGGAAUUAUUCCUGGGAUUAGACCAGCAUGAGGUCUCCUCUACCAAUCUGAGGAUGGAUGCAGUGGCCAGAAUGCCCCCCAGGCAGUCGCCCCUAACCUAAAGCCAUCAGU